rnacentral:rRNA from 1 species
UACGUAGGCUGUUAUUUAAGUCAGAUGUGAAAGCCCCGGGCUUAACCUGGGAACUGCAUUUGAUACUGGGUAACUAGAGUCUGGUAGAGGGUAGUGGAAUUCCACGUGUAGCGGUGAAAUGCGUAGAUAUGUGGAGGAACAUCAGUGGCGAAGGCGACCGCCUGGACCAAGACUGACGCUGAGGUACGAAAGCGUGGGGAGCAAACA